UCCGGUUUGGCACCGGCAGUCUCCGAUGAGUCCCCGGCAUCACCCGCUGGCAACAUCGGACAGGGGUUGCGCUCGUUGCGCCACUUAAGGCAACACCUCACGGCACGAGCUGACGACAGCCAUGCACCACCUGUGCAGGCUCCGAAGAGCACCCGCUUUCACGGGCUUCACCCUGCAUGUCAAGCCCAGGUAAGGUUCUUCGCGUCGCAUCGAAUUAAACCACAUGCUCCACCGCUUGUGCGGGCCCCCGUCAAUUCCUUUGAGGUUCAAUCUUGCGAUCGUACUCCCCAGGUGGAUUACUUAAUGCUUUCGCUUAGACGCGUACAUUAUAUCGCACACAUCGAGUAAUCAUCGUUUAGGGCGUGGACUAC
rnacentral:misc_RNA from 1 species